UACGAAGGGGGCUAGCGUUGUUCGGAAUUACUGGGCGUAAAGCGCACGUAGGCGGCGCAGCAAGUUGGGGGUGAAAUCCCGAGGCUCAACCUCGGAAUUGCCUUCAAAACUGCUGUGCUCGAGUUCGGAAGAGGUGAGUGGAAUUCCCAGUGUAGAGGUGAAAUUCGUAGAGAUUGGGAAGAACACCAGUGGCGAAGGCGGCUCACUGGUCCGCAACUGACGCUGAGGUGCGAAAGCGUGGGGAGCGAACAGG
rnacentral:rRNA from 1 species